rnacentral:rRNA from 1 species
GUAACUGGACUGCAACUGACGCUGAGGCGCGAAAGUGUGGGGAGCAAACAGGAUUAGAUACCCUGGUAGUCCACACGGUAAACGAUGAAUGCUAGGUGUAGGGGGUAUCGACCCCUUCUGUGCCGGAGUAAACACAAUAAGCAUUCCGCCUGGGGAGUACGGUCGCAAGAUUAAAACUCAAAGGAAUUGACGGGGGCCCGCACAAGCAGCGGAGCAUGUGGUUUAAUUCGAAGCAACGCGAAGAACCUUACCAGGUCUUGACAUCCAGUAAAAUCUGUAGAGAUACAGUGUGCUUUCGGGCGUACUGAGACAGGUGGUGCAUGGUUGUCGUCAGCUCGUGUCGUGAGAUGUUGGGUUAAGUCCCGCAACGAGCGCAACCCUUGCCAAUAAUUACUAACGUGUAAAGACGAGGACUAUAUUGGGACCGCCGGGGACAACUCGGAGGAAGGUGGGGACGACGUCAAAUCAUCAUGCCCCUUAUGACCUGGGCUACACACGUGCUACAAUGGCCGAGACAGAGAGUGGCGAAGGCGCGAGCCGGAGCGGAUCUCAAAAAAGCGGUCACAGUUCGGAUUGUGGGCUGCAACCCGCCCACAUGAAGCAGGAGUUGCUAGUAAUCGCGAAUCAGCAUGUCGCGGUGAAUA